GGAUGUUCAGCUCCGUCCAUUCGACCAUCUUGACUCAGCUGCAGAAGCAGGUGCUUUGGUUUGCCUGUUUACAAAUCCCAUAUGGCUGGUGAAAACACGAAUGCAACUACAGACACCUGGACAUACUGCACCUUACUCUGGAUUUUCUGCCAGAUGCUUUGAGAACUAUUCUGAAAGAGGAGGGAUGACUAGCACUUUAUAGAGGGAUUGGACCUGGACUUAUGUAGGGCAGUUGAUAUUUUAGAGCAUUCUGGUCCAUAUAUGUCUGCUUUAAAGUACAUUCACUAUCAGCUAGAUAGUUAGUUAAUAUAUCUGAUAUGUAUUUGCCUUCAUUGUCAACAGAAUUCUGUUGAUUAUGCGGCACUUGGGGCUG